rnacentral:rRNA from 1 species
GACGAACGCUGGCGGCGUGCUUAACACAUGCAAGUCGAACGGAAAGGCCCUGCUUUUGUGGGGUGCUCGAGUGGCGAACGGGUGAGUAACACGUGAGUAACCUGCCCUUGACUUUGGGAUAACUUCAGGAAACUGGGGCUAAUACCGGAUAGGAGCUCCUGCUGCAUGGGGGGGGUUGGAAAGUUUCGGCGGUUGGGGAUGGACUCGCGGCUUAUCAGCUUGUUGGUGGGGUAGUGGCUUACCAAGGCUUUGACGGGUAGCCGGCCUGAGCGGGUGACCGGCCACAUUGGGACUGAGAUACGGCCCAGACUCCUACGGGAGGCAGCAGUGGGGAAUAUUGCACAAUGGGCGGAAGCCUGAUGCAGCAACGCCGCGUGCGGGAUGACGGCCUUCGGGUUGUAAACCGCUUUCGCCUGUGACGAAGCGUGAGUGACGGUAAUGGGUAAAGAAGCACCGGCUAACUACGUG